GUUGGGACUGUGCUGGAGGCUGCUCUGCACUGAAAUAGUCAGGAGCACCCAGAACCAUCUCAGCACAACGUAGGUGGUAAAAGCACCAUGAAAAGUGCUCUCGAUAGGAAGGGUGGAAGGGAUAAGGCAGAAGUUGGACCUUGUGCCCCCUGGACCAGGCUGUGCUGCUGGGAGGGGACUGUGCUGCUGUUGCUGUUGCAGCCAAGUGGAGGGGAACUGACACUGGCAAUUCUUUCAUGUACUGUUAGUGAACAGCCAUCAGAAGACAUUGACACUAACUGUGGGCCUUUUAAGAGUGUAAUGUAUUAGCAACUUGUCUCCUUGAAAGCUAAUGACAAAUGCCUUGUUUAAAAGGAAGAUCAAAACAUCAAGAAAAAUUAGAUUAAAUGGUUAUGAAACUCCCAGUG